AACGAACGCUGGCGGCAGGCUUAACACAUGCAAGUCGAACGCUCGUAGCAAUACGGGAGUGGCGGACGGGGUGAGUAACGCGUGGGAACGUGCCCUGAGGUACGGAAUAACUGAGGGAAACUUCAGCUAAUACCGUAUGAGCCCCGAGAGGGGAAAGAUUUAUCGCCUUGGGAGCGGCCCGCGUCGGAUUAGCUAGUUGGUGGGGUAACGGCCUACCAAGGCUUCGAUCCGUAGCUGGUCUGAGAGGACGAUCAGCCACACUGGGACUGAGACACGGCCCAGACUCCUACGGGAGGCAGCAGUGGGGAAUCUUGCGCAAUGGGGGCAACCCUGACGCAGCCAUGCCGCGUGAACGAUGAAGGCCUUAGGGUUGUAAAGUUCUUUUACCCGUGACGAUGAUGACGGUAACGGGGAAUAAGCUCCGGCUAACUUCGUGCCAGCAGCCGCGGU
rnacentral:rRNA from 1 species